ACAAAACAUCCAAACACUCUUGUAGCAAGACGCUUCUCAAACAAUCCCGAAGCCAAAGGUCGCGUCUCAGAGUUCCGCAUCCAGCUUCGUACGCGCAGAUCCAUGGAUUCUAAGUCAAUGCCGAGCGUUCAGCAACACACGAGUUUCACCUCACUUCGAUCCCACAGAUGCGCACCACUCCAGCAUAUCAACGUGUGAAUCUGUAUUUGCUAAUUCUGAAUCGUUUCAUCGCCUUUACCGAAUGAAUGCUUGUGCGAUCCCAAAUUUCAUCCCUAAGCCAAAGUUCGUGGUGAUUUCCGAUGUAGAUAUGGCUUUCGAAACGGUGUUCAGACGCACAGUCUUCUUGGCUAUUCACAAGAUGAAUUGAAUGGGAGAUGGUUUUGCCGUAGAUGACGGCGGUUCAAGCGAGGAUGAGUGUUGCAAAAGUGAAGAAUGAAAUGCAGUGAAGAGUGUGAAUUGCAAAUUGCAGAUCAACGAAGAAGGGGACGAAUCGAUGGAGCGCGAAGAAUGGUUAAGAGAGAUUGGAGCAGGAGCAGGAGAUGAAACGUGAAGCAGGGAGAAGGUGGAGAAUUUUGGUGUGAAAAUGAAGAUUUCUGUGAAAAAAUGCCAAAUCCAGGUGGAGCUUGUUGUGCAGGUUUGGCAUUUUCAGCCUCAACUCUGCGUUUCAUGUUUGGGGUUAUCGUCGUUUUGCUACUGCGACCGGCAGCUUGUCGCUCUUUACAUGCGUUUUGGCUUAUGGAGGGUAAUUGGAUGUGGUUCAUUGAUGGGUAGCUGGAUUAGUCAAAUGGAUUAGUCAAAUGGAUUUUCAAUUGGAGCUUGGAUAACUAUUUUGGAUUAUUUUUGUAAAUGGAAAGGGAUAUUGGGGUCAAUGGAUAUGAGAUGGAGAUGUAUUAUUUGGAUUAUUGCAUUAAAAUCGGUUCAUUCUAACA